GGAUGCGAUCAUACCAGCACUAAAGCACCAGAUCCCAUCAGAACUCCGAAGUUAAGCGUGCUUGGGCGAGAGUAGUACUGGGAUGGGUGACCUCCUGGGAAGUCCUCGUGUUGCGUUCC
rnacentral:rRNA from 1 species